AUCCAACUGAUGAGUUUUAAAUAGGACGAAACGCGCGUCCUGGAU
rnacentral:hammerhead_ribozyme from 1 species